CUUGUGUUAGGUAUUGAAAGGGUGAAAAUAAACUUGACCUAAAAGUUGUCAUCCUCAUUCAAAUAGUAUUUUAACUUUCCACAAAUCAAAAAAUAGUUUUGCUUUUGAAUUAUUGAUUGAAAUUCAUAAGAAAAAAAAAACGGUAUCUCAAGCAUAGACAGACA